rnacentral:tRNA from 1 species
GGCUAGGUAGCUCAGUCGGUAGAGCAAGGGACUGAAAAUCCCUGUGUCGGCGGUUCGAUUCCGUCCCUAGCCACCA